rnacentral:rRNA from 1 species
UACAGAGGUCUCAAGCGUUGUUCGGAUUCAUUGGGCGUAAAGGGUGCGUAGGUGGCGCCGUAAGUCGGGUGUGAAAUUUCGGAGCUUAACUCCGAAACUGCAUUCGAUACUGCGGUGCUUGAGGACUGGGAGAGGAGACUGGGAAUUCAUGGUGUAGCAGUGAAAUGCGUAGAGAUCAUGAGGAAGACCAGUGGCGAAGGCGGGUCUCUGGACAGUUCCUGACACUGAGGCACGAAGGCCAGGGGAGCAAACGGG